rnacentral:rRNA from 1 species
GACGAACGCUGGCGGCGUGCUUAACACAUGCAAGUCGAACGGAAAGGCCCUGCUUUUGUGGGGUGCUCGAGUGGCGAACGGGUGAGUAACACGUGAGUAACCUGCCCUUGACUUUGGGAUAACUUCAGGAAACUGGGGCUAAUACCGGAUAGGAGCUCCUGCUGCAUGGUGGGGGUUGGAAAGUUUCGGCGGUUGGGGAUGGACUCGCGGCUUAUCAGCUUGUUGGUGGGGGAGUGGCUUACCAAGGCUUUGACGGGUAGCCGGCCUGAGAGGGUGACCGGCCACAUUGGGACUGAGAUACGGCCCAGACUCCUACGGGAGGCAGCAGUGGGGAAUAUUGCACAAUGGUCGGAAGCCUGAUGCAGCAACGCCGCGUGCGUGAUGACGGCCUUCGGGUUGUAAACCGCUUUCGCCUGUGACGAAGCGUGAGUGACGGUAAUGGGUAAAGAAGCACCGGCUAACUACGUG